GAUGAACGCUGGCGGCGUGCCUAAUACAUGCAAGUCGAGCGAACAGACGAGGAGCUUGCUCCUCUGACGUUAGCGGCGGACGGGUGAGUAACACGUGUAUAACCUACCUAUAAGACUGGGAUAACUUCGGGAAACCGGAGCUAAUACCGGAUAAUAUAUUGAACCGCAUGGUUCAAUAGUGAAAGACGGUUUUGCUGUCACUUAUAGAUGGAUCCGCGCCGCAUUAGCUAGUUGGUAAGGUAACGGCUUACCAAGGCAACGAUGCGUAGACGACCUGAGAGGGUGAUCGGCCACACGGGAACUGAGACACGGUCCAGACUCCUAAGGGAGGCAGCAGUAGGGAAUCUUACGCAAUGGGCGAAAGCCUGACGGAGCAACGCCGCGUGAGUGAUGAAGGUCUUCGGAUCGUAAAACUCUGUUAUUAGGGAAGAACAAAUGUGUAAGUAACUAUGCACGUCUUGACGGUACCUAAUCAGAAAGCCACGGCUAACUACGUG
rnacentral:rRNA from 1 species